AUUGAACGCUGGCGGCAGGCCUAACACAUGCAAGUCGAGCGAGCGGCGGACGGGUGUGUGAUGUCUGGGAAACUGUCUGCUGGAGGGGGGUAACUCCUGGAAACGGUAGCUAAUACCGCAUACCAUCAGAUGUGCCCAGAUGGGAUUAGCUAGUAGGUGGGGUAACGGCUCACCUAGGCGACGAGCCCUAGCUGGUCUGAGAGGAUGACCAGCCACACUGGAACUGAGACACGGUCCAGACUCCUACGGGAGGCAGCAGUGGGGAAUAUUGCACAAUGGGCGCAAGCCUGAUGCAGCCAUGCCGCGUGUGUGAAGAAGGCCUUCGGGUUGUAAAGCACUUUCAGUGGGGAGGCGUUACCCACAGAAGAAGCACCGGCUAACUCCGUGCCAGCAGCCGCGGUAAUUC
rnacentral:rRNA from 1 species